GGAGAGGUGGCAGAGUGGUCGAAUGCGCUGCACUCGAAAUGCAGUAUACGGGCAACCGUAUCGAGGGUUCGAAUCCCUCCCUCUCCGCCA
rnacentral:tRNA from 13 species